rnacentral:rRNA from 1 species
UGGGGAAUAUUGCACAAUGGGUGCAAGCCUGAUGCAGCCAUGCCGCGUGUAUGAAGAAGGCCUUCGGGUUGUAAAGUACUUUCAGUCGGGAGGAAGGUGGUAAGGUUAAUAACCUUAUCAAUUGACGUUACCGACAGAAGAAGCACCGGCUAACUCCGUGCCAGCAGCCGCGGUAAUACGGAGGGUGCAAGCGUUAAUCGGAAUUACUGGGCGUAAAGCGCACGCAGGCGGUUGAUUGAGUCAGAUGUGAAAUCCCCGGGCUUAACCCGGGAAUUGCAUCUGAUACUGGUCAGCUAGAGUCUUGUAGAGGGGGGUAGAAUUCCAUGUGUAGCGGUGAAAUGCGUAGAGAUGUGGAGGAAUACCGGUGGCGAAGGCGGCCCCCUGGACAAAGACUGACGCUCAGGUGCGAAAGCGUGGGGAGCAAACAGG